AGAGUUUGAUCCUGGCUCAGAUUGAACGCUGGCGGCAUGCCUAACACAUGCAAGUCGAACGGCAGCACAGAGGAGCUUGCUCCUUGGGUGGCGAGUGGCGGACGGGUGAGUAAUGCAUCGGGAUCUACCCUGACGUGGGGGAUAACCUCGGGAAACCGGGACUAAUACCGCAUACGUCCUACGGGAGAAAGCGGGGGACCUUUUAGGCCUCGCGCGGCAGGACGAACCGAUGUGCGAUUAGCUAGUUGGCGGGGUAAUGGCCCACCAAGGCGACGAUCGCUAGCUGGUCUGAGAGGAUGAUCAGCCACACUGGGACUGAGACACGGCCCAGACUCCUACGGGAGGCAGCAGUGGGGAAUAUUGGACAAUGGGCGCNAGCCUGAUCCAGCAAUGCCGCGUGUGUGAAGAAGGCCUUCCGGUUGUAAAGCACUUUUAUCAGGAGCGAAAUCUGCAUGCUUAAUACGUGUGCAGUCUGACGGUACCU
rnacentral:rRNA from 1 species